CAGGAAGUCGUAGCCAUCCGAGCGAAAAUGUACAGCAUCCUCUUGGCUGGGACACACAAACAGAUCGCGAGAGCGAAAGGAGUUAAGAAAGACGUGGUGAGGAAACAUUUAUUGCACGAAGUGUACCGAGAUUCUCUGUUCAAUGAAAAGGCGGUCUCUCAGAAGCAGUGCACCAUCCAGAGUAUAAAGCAAACGAUGUACACCAUUUCGAGACUCAAGAAGAGCUUGGUCCCCUACGACGACAAGCGCUAUCUCGUGGAUGCCGUACACUCCUUCCCUUAUGGAAGCUGCGAAUACGCAACGGAAAACCCGGAAGAGAGCCCGAGAGCGUCGACGUCGUCAGGCAUCGAGUAACCGCGGAACAAAGAGCUGCACGCGCAUGUAAUCGAGAAUAAAAGUUCUAGUCGAGA